rnacentral:rRNA from 1 species
AGAGUUUGAUCCUGGCUCAGAUUGAACGCUGGCGGCAAGCCUAACACAUGCAAGUCGAGCGGUAACAGAUCGCUGUGAUCCCUUCGGGGUGAACUUGAUGCUGACGAGCGGCGGACGGGUGAGUAACGCGUAGGAAUCUACCCAGUAGCGGGGGAUAGCUCGGGGAAACUCGAAUUAAUACCGCAUACGCCCUAAGGGGGAAAGCAGGGGAUCUUCGGACCUUGCACUAUUGGAUGAGCCUGCGUUGGAUUAGCUAGUUGGUGGGGUAAAGGCCUACCAAGGCGACGAUCCAUAGCUGGUCUGAGAGGAUGAUCAGCCACACUGGGACUGAGACACGGCCCAGACUCCUACGGGAGGCAGCAGUGGGGAAUAUUGGACAAUGGGCGCAAGCCUGAUCCAGCUAUGCCGCGUGUGUGAAGAAGGUUCUAGGAUUGUAAAGCACUUCAAGCAGUGAAGAAGGCCAUGUAGUUAAUACCCUG